rnacentral:lncRNA from 1 species
AGCUUUCUACCACUGGUAAAGGUAAUCAACAAGAAAACAAUCACAUGAGAACCAAACACCAACAAUAAAGAGAGGAGCCGACGGGGAGGCUGAGAACCAAUACGUACUAAGGUUUCCUGGCCUUAGCUGUCACAGCGGCCAGAGAAGAGCGCAGACCGAAUUGGCGGCGAGGAAAGAGCACAGACCAAAACCAAGACCAUUCCAUUAAAGUCCGUAUUGGCGAUCACCCAAGCCAAACUCCAAACUCCAAAGACUUGAAACCUACAAUGCGCAGACCGCAUAUGUAAGCGGAAGUUCACUCUUGGGUAGGCUCCACACCACCGAUGAAGGAGAGAGCUUCUGUCUCCAGCUCCCGCAGCAAAAAACGGGCAAGGUGAUAGCAACCAAACAGAACCAAUCACUACCUGCAAAGAAGAAAGCCAACUACUCCUGACGCAAAGAACCAAACGGAAACUAAGACGCCACAGGGAUGGUGCAACUUGACCACGAGAUGUCACCGGGAAGUAUAAACCUGUCGACUCAACAGAAGAACACCAAACCCGAACCUGCGCUACAACUGAGAACCAGAGGACAGCAACUUCUUACCCAAAGACUGCAGCUUUCGGUGACACGAAACCAACAGCAGCGGAGAGCAGGAGACCAGACCCAUAACAGAGCCCAAGAAGAACUGAGAGGACGAAAAGCGAGCACACGAAUGGAGGAGCAGGCUUAAAGCCUAGAAGCACCGGAUGCAUAGACGCAAACAACA